rnacentral:rRNA from 1 species
UACGUAGGGUGCAAGCGUUGUCCGGAAUUAUUGGGCGUAAAGGGCUCGUAGGCGGUUUGUCGCGUCUGCCGUGAAAGUCCGGGGCUCAACUCCGGAUCUGCGGUGGGUACGGGCAGACUAGAGUGAUGUAGGGGAGACUGGAAUUCCUGGUGUAGCGGUGAAAUGCGCAGAUAUCAGGAGGAACACCUAAGGCGAAGGCAGCUCGCUGGAACGGUACUGACGCUGAGGCGCGAAAGCGUGGGGAGCAAACGGG